rnacentral:tRNA from 1 species
GGGGUAAUAGUUUAAUAUAUAACAUUUAAAUUGCAAUUAAAAGAUACUAAUUUUAUAGUUUACCUCU